rnacentral:tmRNA from 4 species
GGGGCUGAUCGGUUUCGACAGCGCCUGCGAACCUGCGAGAAGCGGGCCGAGGAUGUGGGGUUAUCUCGUAAACGCUCCCUGCAAAACAAUAAGUGCCGAAACCAAGCGCACUGACUUCGCCCUCGCUGCGUAAGCGAGCCCGAUAGUCCGUCAGACCGUGUGUGACCCCGCCACGGAUCCUGGCGUCAUUUAGGGGUCUUGCUGUGUGACGGCGUCCGGACGUCACGCGGGACUUUUCCCGGACUGGGCCUGUCGACUUAGGUGUCUGUGACAAAGGUCGGGGCCGAGCAGAACGUCUGCACAGACUGCGCCCGGAGAAAACGCGGAGACCCAGCGUUGGACGGGGGUUCGAUUCCCCCCAGCUCCACGA